rnacentral:rRNA from 1 species
UACGUAGGGUGCAAGCGUUAAUCGGAAUUACUGGGCGUAAAGCGUGCGCAGGCGGUUGUGCAAGACAGAUGUGAAAUCCCCGGGCUUAACCUGGGAACUGCAUUUGUGACUGCAUCGCUGGAGUGCGGCAGAGGGGGAUGGAAUUCCGCGUGUAGCAGUGAAAUGCGUAGAUAUGCGGAGGAACACCGAUGGCGAAGGCAAUCCCCUGGGCCUGCACUGACGCUCAUGCACGAAAGCGUGGGGAGCAAACAGG